rnacentral:misc_RNA from 1 species
AACAUCUCAACCCUCAAGGCGCUUGCGUCGGGAGGAUUGGACUUGAGCGAUCCCGACUCUUUCUCACGAAAGAGGAGGGUCGCUUGAAAUGCAGGUGCAGCAGGACAUUCUUCUGAGCUAAAAGCAUAUCUAUUUAGUCCCGUCAAACGGAUUAUUACUUUUGCUUCAGCUAACAUAAAGGUCGAAUGCGCCACAAUCGCUGAUUGCAGGAAAACUCGUUCGCAAGAACUUGUAAAC